rnacentral:rRNA from 1 species
GACGUAGGGCGCGAGCGUGUCCGGAUUUAUUGGGCGUAAAGAGCUCGUAGGCGGCUUGUUGCGUCGACCGUGAAAACCCGCGGCUCAACUGCGGGCUUGCGGUUGAUACGGGCAGGCUGGAGUUCGGUAGGGGAGACUGGAAUUCCUGGUGUAGCGGUGAAAAUGCGCAGAUAUCAGGAGGAACACCGGUGGCGAAGGCGCCACUCUGGGCCGAAAACUGACGCUGAGGAGCGAAAGCGUGGGUAGCAAACAGG